CUGCUGCCUCCCGUAGGAGUCUGGUCCGUGUCUCAGUACCAGUGUGGGGGACCUUCCUCUCAGAACCCCUACGCAUCGUCGCCUUGGUGGGCGUUACCCCGCCAACUAGCUAAUGCGACGCAUGACCAUCCGUAGCCGGAAUCGCUUCCUUUAAACCCGAGGAGAUGCCUCCUCGGGUUGUUACGCGGUAUUAGACGGAAUUUCUUCCGCUUAUCCCCCUGCUACGGGCAGGUUUCAUACGUGUUACUCACCCGUGCGCCGGUCGCCGGCGGGAGUA
rnacentral:rRNA from 1 species